rnacentral:rRNA from 1 species
GACGAACGCUGGCGGCGUGCUUAACACAUGCAGGUCGAGCGGUAAGGCCCUUUCGGGGGUACACGAGCGGCGAACGGGUGAGUAACACGUGGGUGACCUGCCCUCAGCUCUGGGAUAAGCCUGGGAAACCGGGUCUAAUACCGGAUAUGACUCCAUGACGCAUGUUGUGGGGUGGAAAGCCUUGUGCGGCUGAGGAUGGGCCCGCGGCCUAUCAGCUUGUUGGUGGGGUGAUGGCCUACCAAGGCGACGACGGGUAGCCGGCCUGAGAGGGCGACCGGCCACACUGGGACUGAGACACGGCCCAGACUCCUACGGGAGGCAGCAGUGGGGAAUCUUGCGCAAUGGGCGAAAGCCUGACGCAGCGACGCCGCGUGAGGGAUGACGGCCUGUGU